GGAAGGCGCCAUUUGAAAAGCCCAAAUCCCAAGUGGAAAAUGUUGAUGGGGUGAGGCGGAGAUGAGGCGCGCCUGCGGCUAACGUUGGGCGCCUCCAACCCCACCAUUAUAAAGCUGAGGAACCCAAACUGCAAACAUCCGGUUCGUACACCUGCACUGUCACUCAGGCGAUAGGAAAAACUGGAAGCCUCCUCCGGAUUGGUCGAUUUCUGCAAGCUCUCCAGUCAAUCAGAGUAGACUGUACCGCAGUCCUUCCCAUUCUCUGGCCCCAGGGAACCAUGUUAGGUAGAAAGAUGCAAACCUUGCCACUUUCCUGAGACCACAAACACAAUAACAUAUCCUGCUUUCCUCUGCCGCUGCCAUCUGCGCCUGACAUGUUAAUUCAAUUAAUAAAAAUGCGCUUUUUUUCCCUCCACAAAACGAGUCGUUUCGUUAGUAUAAUGUGAAAUCUGCGUCUAGGCGGUGACGCGCGAAGGAGGGGAAGAGGUGCCCCGUUCAGCCCUCAACCCUCUACACUAGCAAAGACUUACUGUUGACUCCGACUACCCAGGAGGCCCUCCUCCCGCGUCUCCCGCAGCGUGCGCGGAUUUUGAGUGGCUUUUGGCCCCUCGCGGCCCCUGUAGCGUCCCUAGUUACCGGGCCCCUAGUAACCACCUCCCUAGCAAGUAGCUGUCGGGCGCCAGAGGCCGCGCCGGCAUCCCCGUCCCGGGCCAGCGCUGGCGCUCAGGCCUCGGCGGCGCGAUAAUGGCCGCCUUGCACCGAGCGGCAAAGCUGUCGAACCUCCAUCUCCCAAUCCCGGUCAAUCCCAACACCGGAGUGCGGGUCGCCCAGUACGAACGCAAAGACCCCUCAGAGUCCCUGUCGGCGGCGGCGGCGGCCUUGGAGGAGGAGGAAGAAGAAGAGGAAGAGGAAAAGAAGAAGGCGGCUCGGCCGGCGCGGGCGCCGGCUGAUUUUAACACCAACGUUCCUGGGGUGGACGAACAAAAAUGUAUAUCCCAUGAGGAUUUUGUGGACUUUUCUGAUAUUUAUCACUCUAAUGAAGAGUAUUUCAAGAAACUAGAAGAACUCAAGGCUGCUUACUUGGAAACUAUGGCAAAGUUAGAGAAAAUGUACCAGAAUAAACUACAUUUAAAGGAAGUUCAGCCAGCAAUCAUCAGGGAAGAAGCUUCUAGUGUCUCUUCUGGGUCCGUAUCAGAAAGGAACUCCUAUUGCCCUGUCUCGUUAAUGACAUCAAUUUCAGAGCCUGAUUUAGGUCAGUCUUCCUCCUUGAUUGUGUCUUCCUCUGAAGAUGAGUUGCCCUGCUUAGAGAAAGAGUAUCCGGAGAAAAGCAGAAUGAUGACCUACGCUAAGGAGCUCAUCAACAACAUGUGGACAAACUUCUCUGUUGAAGAUUAUAUUCGAUAUGAAGAUGCUGACUUGCCAGUGUGUGAAAAAACAAAGAAGAAACCAAAAGAAUGGGUGCCAAGGCUUACAGUGCCUGAGCCUUUUCAAAUGAUGAUUAGAGAGCAGAAGAAAAAAGAAGAGAACAUGAAAUCUAAAUCAGAGGCUGAAAUGGUACGCAAACUGCUCAAAAAACAAGAAGAAGAAUCAGAAUGUAAGAAAAAAUUCCGAGCCAAUCCAGUUCCCGCGUUUGUUUUCUUCCCCCUUUAUCACGAUAUAGUCAAGCAAAAUGAAGAACGGAGGAGGUCUAUGAAGGAGAAAAACAAAGAAGCUCUUCUGGCCUCGCAAAAGCCAUUUAAGUUCAUUGCAAGGGAGGAACAGAAGCAAGCAAUUCGGAAAAAGCAGCUGAAAGACUUUUUUAAGUCUGAAAAGAAAACAAAUCGAUUUAAAGCUAGACCUAUACCUCGAUCUACUUAUGGUUCAACUAUCACGGACAGGUUAGCGGAAGAAGAGCUCUAUAGAAACAUUAGGACUCAGCAAAGAGCCCAAGAGCUUUUACAGAAUUCAUCCCCUCUGCCUUAUAGACCAGCUCGUAGAAGUCUUGCUUCAAGGAAGCCCAAGUGUCCUGAACAGGCUGAAAAGUCAAAGUAUAAACACAAGUUUAAGGGCCAGACUGUUGAUUCUGAAAACCUUCCUGAAAGAUAUCAGAAACACCACUCAGAACAGAAGUGUCCAAAGCUCCUAACAGUCUGUGAACCAUCUGACCUUCACACCACCUCACAUGCAUCCACUGAAAGAGAGAAAAUUUUGGCAGACAUUGAAGCAGAUGAAGAAAAUUUGAAAGAAACACAUUGGCCUUACCUGUCUCCAAGGCGCAAGUCACCAGUAGAAAGUGCAGGUGCGAAGCCUGCACCUUAUAGCUGCAACCCUCCGAUGCCCACCCUGUCCUCCAGAGGAAGAGAGCUAGCCACAAGGAGAUCACUUGAGGAAAAGAAAAUGUUGGAAGAAGAGAGAAAUCGGAUCCUAACUAAGCAGAAGCAAAGAAUGAAAGAAUUGCAGAAACUCCUGACGACUCGGGCUAAGGCUUAUGACUCACAUCAGAGUUUAGCUCAGAUGUCUAAAUCCAGAGUGAAAUCUCUCAGGUAUCAGGAGAGAAUCCUGACCCUGCAGAUCAUUGAUUUUCAAACUUUUUUUUUAAUCAGUGGACCCCAAUUUAUGAACAGAUUAAGAAUAGUAUUAGUAUUUCAGUUUAUGAAUUCAAGUUACUAUCAGUUACUUAUAAUUAACAUACUCACACACACACACAUUCACUGACUUCAUGUGAGAACCAGCAUGUAUUCUCACCUCGUGGUGAGGACCAUGAUACCAUGUUGAUGAGAAGAAACAUUUCUGAUUGCGGCCAUAGUUAAUAUUUAUGAUCUUAUAUCAUCAUCUAAUCUUGUCCUUUAUAUUAUUUUUUAUUGCACAGUACAAUAUUGAGAAAAAUCUUGAUUCAGAUAAAGCUCUUUUUUAACAGCUUGCCAUAUAUCUCAGAACAUUCUUCCAUAAAUAGAUAUGUCAGAGAGCUUUGUUCUAAAGUCUGCAUGAAAUCUGAUAGCACAGAUUAACACAUUGAUGUUAAUUAACAUCAGUUAUGUGAUGUGUCAGUUAGCACAUGUGUUAAUAUUUAGUGGUAUGUGUUACACAGUGGAAUUCUGCAGUACAAAGUUUGAAAAUCAGUGUUCCAGAGGGACAUUUUUAUGUUGCAAAAAAUGUUCAUGUUUAUUUAAGUAGUAAAAUAGCUCCCCCCAAUCUGGGUAAGUAAUAUGAUUUAUUAAUUUUUAAUCUGACUUAUAAAUACUCCCAAAAUCUGUAUUUGCUUUAAAUUAUGAGUAUUCCUCUAAAAAUGUAUAUUAUGUAUCGUAAUUAUUAUAUUCCUUUAUAAUGUAUAUUAUGUAUAUAUUCCUUAUAACGUAUAUCAGUGUAAUUCACUGAUAGAGCUUGAUUUGAUGAACUUGAGCAAAAAAAUCCUUAGAAAUACACUCUUCAUCCUUAGAAAGUAAGCUGGAUAAUAAUAAUAAUGCUAAAUUGUAAUUAACCAUAAUUAUCAUUUUAUAGUAGUAUUAUUUUUUCUAAUCCAUGAAAUCUUUUGCUCUUGGUAGAGUUAGUAUGAUUUACUUAGAGAAAAUAGCAUAAAUUUUUCGUUGAAGUAUAACUGAUUUACAAUGUUGUGUUAAUCUCUGGUGUACAGCAUAGUGAUUCAGUUACAUUUAUAUGCAUAUAUAUGUAUUCUUUUUCAUGUUCUUUUCCAUUAUGGUUUAUUACAUGAUGAGAAAAUAGCAUAAUUUAAUUCAUUAUAGGACCUUGUUCAAAGUAAGUAUAUUUCCUGUGAAUUUAUAUAUUUUGGUUCUUGUUCCUCUGUGUGUUGUAUUCCCAUACUCCCCAUUUCUCCCCUGACCUGCUCCAUUAACUUUGCUACCAAGCUCUAGGAGGUCUCACUUAGGGGAAAAAAGAAGAGCAAAGUCUUGUUUUCAGAAGAAAUUCCUUAAAGAGAAGAUACUUGAUUUGGACCAAAUUUUCUUGGUUUUACAUACUUAUAAAUGAGAUAAGAGGGCAUUCAUCGAUCUCUUCUGGCCGGUUUGAAGCCCUUAGUAAGUUACAUUUUGAAGAUUUCAGAAACCUCAAAGUUUCCUUUGAGAAAUUGUUCCUGGGAUGUAAAACAUGUGGUCUCAGAACCUUAGGAUUUUUUUCUGCAUUCCAUAAGAAUUUACCAGUCUAGAAAAUAUAUUCUGGUAAACUGUAAACUCUGCUCAUAAUUUCAUUUCUGGUUUGUCAUCUAAGCUAAAUGUUGUGUUGCAAGUUCUUAUUUCUUUUUAAAAUUCCAUUCCCUUUAUUUGAUUUUAGAAAGAGUGAAAAGGAAAGGAUGAGAAAAUACCGACAAGAACUAGAAGAAAGAGAAGAAAAAUUAAAAAGCAGGCCGCUGCUAUUUGAAAGAGUUGCUCAGAUAUCCUUCAACAAUCACA